UGCUCGAAAUCCAUCCUGAAACAAGCAGGCCGAGCUGUGAGUAAAAGAAUUAAAGUCUCAAGACAUUGCAGUGCCUUGUAUUUAUAAUGAUGCCAGCUGCAGACAAUGUUCUGAUCAUUCACAGUAGCCCGUUAGAUUCACCUGGAGUUGUAAGCUAGAAUACAAAGAGUGAGACGUGGCGGCCCAUACCGACAAGCCCAGCACCUGGGAUUGCUUCGAGUUCAAAGUCAGCCUUGAUUAGACACGGUCUAGAGCAAGGCACAAACUGGAACUUUCCUGCCAGACAUCGAUUCCUAGCAAUAGGAGCAAUUUCAGCAGUGAGUGGGUUAAGUCACUGUCCAUUAGCCCACAAACCUCAAGGUCAGAAUGUUUACCCAGAAGAAGGAAAAACAUCUUUUGAAACCAUGCCCAUUACCAAGGAACAAUUACCAAACUUUAGCCUAGCCCAGAAAAUCAAUGCGAGUCGGCUGGUCUAUUGUGUGGAGCAGAGCCAUCUGACCCCUCCUCUCUGAGGCUGAAUCCCUUUGUCUGCAGCUUCAGCCGGCUGGCUCAGGCUGCAGCCCGGGAGAGGAGGGAGUCUUUCCCAGUCAGGUUGUCACGUGUGCCUGGCUCUUCCAUGUCUGUGCCUUCGGAUCUGCUGCCCCAGUAGUGUCACCUCACAAAGGAGCUGGGGAUGUUUGUGUGGAGCUGCUCUAAUUUGAUUUUCAGUAGCUGUGUUUAACAACUUGUUCUUCAGAUUCUUGGAAAUUUAAACAGCUGCCUCUCUGGGCAGCUUUGGACAUAUGCUUUGUCAAGUCCCUUUAGCUUUGCCUGCAGCCUUGGUAUUUGAUGUUGUCUCCUGCCUCAGUGUCAAAAUAAAAGCCACAGGAAAA